CAGCUUAAUAAUUGACACUGGAUGAAAAGAAUGAAGCAUUUCACAUGCUGUCAGUUCUUGGGCCAAACAAUCUCAUAAAUUGCUUUUUCAACUCCGUUAACUUCAUCUGUUUCAUUAAGGCCUACAGCCACAGAAAGAAUCUGUCAAUCAAAACUAUUUUUAGACAAAAAAAUAUAUUAUUUAUCUCAAAUUCUUAACUACGUGCAUUAAUAAAAGGAUGUCUUUUUUGGAUGAUAAUACAAAUUAAUAAACUGUAAAAUCCUAAUGUUAUUAGCAGAUACUUCCAGUAUCUCUUCUGGAGGAAAAGACAUCCUUGUUUUUGCAGCACAGGCAGCCAGACCACUGAAGUAUUCUCUCUUCAGAUAGCUAUGAGCAUUAGCUAUUCCAUCAUUUUCAUUCUGUGAUGCUGUGAGUGAAGUCUUAUGAUUAAGUUGACGUGUCAGGAAACUGGUGUUGGGAAAUGUUGGGCAAGAGAGAUUUUGGAGAAAAGAGGUCAAGCUCCCUUUUAUAAGGCACUAUGUCAGCUUCCAUAUACUAAACAGCCUGUUGGGGCUUUAUCAUGAUUGCCAAACUAGUCUGUCACCUCAGUUCUCAUGAUGGUUGAAUGAGUCACUUGUAUGAUUUCUGAUAUCUGCUUGGAGUUUGGGGAUUACUUUUUGUAGUUCUUAUUUAUUAUUAUUCUUGUUUGUUGGUUGGUUUGUUUUUAGUCAUGACAUGACAAAUGUCUCAUAGAUGAGGACAAUCUGGAUAGCUACGCAUCUGCAAAACCCAUGCAAGAAAAGGCAGUAUGAUGUUAGCACAGAAAGUAUAUCUGGUCCUACCACUAAGAAUGAUUUUACUUAAUAUGACAUAGAUCCGCACCAUAACAUUUGUGGUUCAAAGGGUGGUUCAUAUCUGGGUCAUAUUUAUAUUGAUUAUGUUGUAAAAUGUAUUGCCUGAACUCAUUUAGUAUAACUGGUGGAUUUCUAAAACAGUAAGAAUAUAAAAACUAGUUUAACAUGUCCAAAAAGUUGAAUCUGGCUUUCAUAACUUGUUUAGAAAUUUUUACACCCAUUAUUAAUCAAAAUGUAAUCAUUUUCUCUGAUGGAGCUAUAUUCUAAUAUACAUUCAGUACUAUAUUUUUAGUUUCUCUAUCGUUUUGUCUGAUUUAUGUAUUUUUCUGUAUUGAUCAUCUUCAGAAAUAUCUAUUGCCAAGUGGGUAUAAUGUGCCUAAAUUUAGAUUAAUUACUGGAUUUUGAAAAUUCUAAGGUUCAAGGUUUCACUUUUUUUCUGUCUUCUAUAUGAGAGCAAUGAACUACAUUAGUUUGAAAGAGGAGAUGAAACUUAAAAAUAGAUUUAUAGAUGUUCUUGUGAAAUAAAUAAAUAAAUAAAUGUAGCUACAGAGAACUCCUCCAUAACAUAUGAAACACUACAUUUUCUACGUAUCUGUAGUUCUUACAGACAAAUGGAAACAUGUAAACUGCUGCUGCUGGGUAUAGAAAUUUGUAUAUGAGAUGCUGUUUCUGCUGGAUAUAUGAGAAAGUUGUGAUGAAGGUGAUGGAUGCAAUCUUUUGUCUGAUUUAGAAUAACUGUAGUUAGCUUUGUAAUCUGCCAAAUUUAUACACUCAUUUCCAGUUCUAUCCCUUGUUUUUAAUCAAAUACAAAUGUUGUCCUAGGAACACCACUGGAAAGGAUAAAUUCAUUAUUAUGCUGUUCUAGCCUUAUUAGACUAAGGUCAGUGAAGCCCUCAGAGUAAUCACCACAUUGACUGGCCAGCUGGCUACAUGUCCAUAUAAAGGACACAGAACUAAAGUGAGAAUAGGCAGUUUUACUUCUGAAUUAGAGAUUCUGCUGACAGCUGCUUAUGCUAGAAAAUUCAAAUUUCUGCUUAUCGAACUUUAGAGAGUUAAAUAUCUUGCUAUUGAUUUACUCUAGCAUUUUGAGGUAUAGAGUUAAGAUACUCCUUUCUGGUGCCACAGAAGUGCCUGAUAAUGCAAGACAUAGUCUUGUUUUGUCUAAAUGUACAGCAUUUAUGUAAAUAGAAACCUGCUCAAAGGCAACUGCCAUCUUUUGUCUAUCACACAAACACAGUAUGGAAGAGCUAUGUCUUAUUCCUUCCUUGCUCUUUGUUUUUUCUAAUUACUUCCCAAUCCCUCAAAAAAUGAUUUAGAUUUUCACGUUCAAGGUUGCUGCCAACUACACCUGAUACUGAUGAAAAGACCGUGAAACCUUCAGCAGAUCAAAGACUAAGGAUAACUGAAAAUCGUUAUAAAAAAUGAUAAUUUGGCUUCUUACUUCAAGAAAAGAAAUAUUCUUUCCAUCCCCUUCUUUGUUCUCUGUUUUUUCCUUUUAAAGGAUAUUUCAUGUUUUCUGUGUAUUGUAACUUCAGUUAAGUCACGGCUGUCCAGCCAUUGGUCUGUGAUGAACAGAUAUCAGAAAUGAAAGAUUAAUGUUCUAACAUGGGCUGCUUCCUCUGAAAGAUUGAACAGAAUUUCUGCUAUUGUUGCUGAAUUGAUGUUCUGUUGAUUUCACUUUCAUCUGUCAAUAUUACUUUAGCUUUGAGCUCCCCUACUUAGAGGAAAUGUCCUGUACAUAAGUUGUGCUUAUGGGUAGAGAUUUGAUACUUAGUAGCCAGCAAUGCAGUGUUAUUAUUAACACUUCAUAAUACUUUUUCUACUAUCUUUUCAACAGGGUGACAUGAGCAAAAGUUUCAGUUCAACCACUCUCCUGAAUAAUACACAAAUACUUGGAAGAAUUCUUGAUUCCAUAAAGGAAUUGUUUCAAAUUCUAAGUGGAAAUUAGUGACCCUGAUAUAAGACUUUUUAUCCAAGAAAAAGUGAUCAUGAUGAAAGUGAUACAUUUUUUAUUCAGCACUGUUUAAAAAGAAAAAAAAAAAAAAGAAAAAAAAGAAUAUUCUUUUGACAGAAUAAUAUUCAUCCAUAUUCCCUAAUGCCUUCUUGGAAUAAAAGUAAUCAUUUAAGAAAAUUUGUCUUAUGGAUGCAGCAGGGAAAACAGGAAGGAUAUUCACAAAAAACCUUUUGUUAUGAAGAGUCAAAUCAGUCAGAAGGAAAAGAGAAACAGUCUAGUGUUGUCACCACUUCAGCUAUUCUUCUAGAGUGAACAGAUAUGGGGGAAAAAAAGAAGGAGAAUAAUACAAAAAGCAUGACUGAGACGUUCUGUGAAUAGAACAGCCUCAGCUUUCUCCUGGUCAUUAAAUUGCAGAAAUGGUGUUUUCUUUCAAACGUAUGUUCCACUUCUCAGGUAUAUGUUUAGAAGUGAUAACUCAGGUGUCAAAACAGACUGAGAAAGACAGUCUGAUUUGUAAUCCAAACAGAAAAAUGUCUUUUAGCUAGUGUUCAGCAUUAAGCUUUGAGAUUUUGCCUUUAAUUGUUUGAAAAAGAGUUAUCUGGACUGGCAGUCCAGUGACAAGCCCUGAGCAAUAAAGAGGGCUGACACCAUCCUACACAGCAGUGCAAGUCCACACAAGCAGGUGAAACUACAGAUCUGCUUUGGUUAUUUAUCAUCCCAGACUAUUCAUGUCACACACGUCUUCAGGUAGAAGUCUAUUAUUCUCUCUCUCUUGUCUUCUGAUUCAGUAUACCAUACUCUCACUGCCCCAAAAUUGCUGUUUACACACUUUUAAGAAGAUUUUGCUAGCAAUAAAAAGUACUGUUCCAACUUGAUCUAUGAAAUUCUACAGAGCUAACUACAUUCUUUUGAUGGGGCUGUCAGCUGCCUGUUUUGUGAACUGCCAACAGAAUAAAGAUACAGAAUAAAUAGCCAGUGAGAAAUGCCCCAGGACAGUUCUGAUAGUCUCCUCCCUUCAUUCUCCCUUACUCCAAAAAUUACUUUAAAUCAUGGUCUCAGCUAUUUCAGCUGCAUUUGUAUAUCAGGCACAGCUUUGACUACUCACCAAGAAGUGAUAUUUUGUGAGUUUUCUACACAAUGUUUUGCAAAGCAAUUUUCCAUUUGAAGUGAAUAAUGGUGGCAAAAUAGCACUAAUCUGAAAAUGUGGUGGUGGUAUUUCUUUACUCAGCAAAGCAAUUCCAUUUUUUUUUUUUUUUUUUUUUAUGUCCUCCAUAAGCUUCAGCUACCAUCUAAUAGACUUUUGAAAUAGAAGUUAUCAGAUGAAGAAUCCAAGCAAUUUCCUGAAAUUACAUGUCAGUUUAAAAUGGUGGAAAAGUAAAUAGCAGGAAUAGUCAAAGCAAAAUGUGCCAACUUUUAGACUAAACAGGACUCAAAAGACAGCCUGAAAUUAUUGCUGUCUGCAGAGAGUGAGGACAUACUGUUCUUGUUUUGAUAAUGAUUCUUGGAAAUGGGUUAUUUGUAGCAACAUGAAACCCUUUUAUUUUGGAAAUUAAGAAACUGGUGGAGGAGUUUAUAUAAAACAGCUUUGGGCAGUAAAUUACGUAAGUGUGAAGGUAGUAUCCUAAAUUAUUGUAGGAACUAAAAAGAUAUUGCCUAUCAAAAUGUGAAAAUGGGAGUACAGAUGAGGAGAUAUUUAAAUCCACAGUCAAUCCAAUACAAAAGAUUUACAGAACCUAGGAAUCAGCUUCCAUUCACUUUACAUUGUUGUGAACAGUAGUUUGUGAUAAAGACAAUUCCUGCUGAUUUUAAUAUUUUAUUUUAUUAUUUUAUUUUAUUUUAUUUUAUUUUAUUUAUUUAUUUUAUUUUGGUUAGAAAUUACACUGUGCUGGCUCAGACCUGUAUUACGGAUUUUAUGCUGCUAACAAUAUCCUACUGGCAAAUAUAUCAGAUCACAUUUUGCUGUAGCUUUAACCUUUUGUUAUACUGACACUUGAGACAAAGUUGAGUACUUUCCUCCUGGUGCUUUUUUUACAUGUGUCAAGCAACACAAGAAGUACAGACUAAAGCAGACAAAAGCUCUGAUCUCUCUUUUGGCAUCUACAAUGAUCUGCAUGUUCAAGCAAGAGUAUUUUGACUCAGUAUAUCUCUCAUGAGUGCCAGUUUGGAAGAGUAGAAAAAAAAAAUCAUUAGAGUACAAUAAUAUUCAGGUCUAAACCAUUUACUUAGGUAUUCAAAUACUGAUAUAUGGUGUUCUAAGUAUCCUAGGAAGAACCAGAGUAGUCUUCUAGAAAUUCUUUUAUUAGGUUUUAAAAUAUGUUCUUCCAUUGAAUAUUUGUUAUUUUAAAGUAAUAAAUUUAAACAAUGUAAAUAGUAUAUUUGGGGGCAAAACUAACACUCCUUCUUCAAAUAAAGAUAUUAUUUGCAAUGGA